rnacentral:rRNA from 1 species
CCUACGGGUGGCAGCAGUGGGGAAUAUUGCACAAUGGAGGAAACUCUGAUGCAGCGACGCCGCGUGAGUGAAGAAGUAAUUCGUUAUGUAAAGCUCUAUCAGCAGGGGAGUAAUGACGGUACCUGAUUAAGAAUCCCCGGCUAACUACGGGCCAGCAGCCGCGGUAAUACGUAGGGGGCAAGCGUUAUUCGGGUGUACUGGGUGGAAAGGGAGCGUAGAUGGCAGUGCAAGUCUGGAGUGAAAGGGGGGGGCUCAACCCCAGGAGUGCACUGGAUACUGUACGGCUGGAGUGCAGGAGAGGUAGGUGGAAUUCGUAGUGUAGCGGUGAAAUGCGUAGAUAUUAGGAGGAACACCAGUGGCGAAGGCAGCUUACUGGACUGUAACUGACGUUGAGGCUCGAAAGCGUGGGGAGCAAACAGGAUUAGAUACCCGUGUAGUC